AACGAACGCUGGCGGCAGGCUUAACACAUGCAAGUCGAACGCUCGUAGCAAUACGGGAGUGGCGGACGGGUGAGUAACGCGUGGGAACGUGCCCUGAGGUACGGAAUAACUGAGGGAAACUUCAGCUAAUACCGUAUGAGCCCCGAGAGGGGGAAAGAUUUAUCGCCUUGGGAGCGGCCCGCGUCGGAUUAGCUAGUUGGUGGGUAACGGCCUACCAAGGCUUCGAUCCGUAGCUGGUCUGAGAGGACGAUCAGCCACACUGGGACUGAGACACGGCCCAGACUCCUACGGGAGGCAGCAGUGGGGAAUCUUGCGCAAUGGGGGCAACCCUGACGCAGCCAUGCCGCGUGAACGAUGAAGGCCUUAGGGUGUAAAGUUCUUUUACCCGUGACGAUGAUGACGGUAACGGGGAAUAAGCUCCGGCUAACUUCGUGCCAGCAGCCGCGGUAAU
rnacentral:rRNA from 1 species